GGGAGAAAGAAAAUCCUGCAAA
rnacentral:snRNA from 1 species